ACGCCGCGUGCCGGAAGAGGCCUUCGGGUUGUAAACGGCUUUUGUUGGGGAAGAGAUGGACGGUACCCGACGAAUAAGCCGCGGCUAACUCCGUGCCAGCAGCCGCGGUAAGACGGAGGGGGCAAGCGUUGUCCGGACUCACUGGGCGUAAAGCGUGCGUAGGCGGUACGGAGCGUCGCCACUGAAAGCCCCGGCUCAACGGGGGGAGGGGGGGGGAUACGACCGAACUGGAGGCAAGGAGAGGUGUGCAGAAUUCCGGGUGUAGUGGUGAAAUGCGUAGAUAUCCGGAGGAAUGUCGGUGGCGAAGGCGGCACACUGGUCUUGACUUGACGCUGAGGCACGAAGGCGUGGGGAGCAAACCGGAUUAGAUACCCGGGUAGUCCACGCAGUAAACGAUGUCGGCUCGGUGUAUCUUGGUGGCAACACCAUGGUGUGCCCCAAGGCACGCGGGAAGCCAACCGCCUGGGGAAUACAAGCGCAAGCUUAAAACUCAAAGGAAUUGACGGGGCCCCGCACAAGCAGCGGAGCGUGUGGUUUAAUUCGACGCACCGCGAAGAACCUUACCCCGGUUUGACAUGCAGCUGCAAGGCCCCCGGGACACGUGUGACCUUCCGGGUUGCUGCCCCAAGCGCCUGCAUGGCUGCCCUCAGCUCGUGUCGUGAGAUGUUGGGUUUAGCCCCGCAACCAGCGCAACCCUUGCCGGCCGUUUCAAGGGCCUGGGGGGCCAGCCCUUCCUUUGAAGCGGGGAGG
rnacentral:rRNA from 1 species